rfam:Theobroma cacao cultivar Matina 1-6 chromosome 9, whole genome shotgun sequence.
UAGAAGUGGGGGCUCCUUUCAGCCUAAAACAGCUUCAAGAUUUUGGUCUUGUGGCCUAUCUAAGCUCUUCUUGAUAUUUGCUUUGGACUGAAGGGAGCUCCUAAUUCUU